rnacentral:lncRNA from 1 species
AAGUUCUCCUUCAUGUCUUUAUUUGUGCUGUCCUAGCUGCCUUGAUGUCAUGAAUUGACCCGCAAUGUUUACCUUUCAUGGUCAUCUUGACUUGGGAGAAGAGCCAGAGUCACAGUGCCAGAUCCAGUCAAUAAGGUGCAUGACAAGGCCUCAAAAAGACACAAAAAAAGGACUUACAGAAUUGCUUCAGAAAAUGACAAGAACAAUAAGUGUGUUUGAAGAAAAGGGAAAUAUUUUAAGGGGGGUGAAUGGUAAU